UUAGCUGGACAGCCUAAAAUCUUCAUGGACCCCUUGCUGGUCUGGUCUUUGGAUCUACUUUGGAUGGGAAAGGGACUUGGGAAUCUGGUGGGGUAAAUCAGCUAGGAAUUUCAUGUGAUACUAGAUUUGGUUCUAACUACUGAAGAUCUUGUGGACUUAACCUAAUCAAUAUCUUAUUCGCCUAAAGAAAUAGUAUUAUGGAGAUGUCAUACUGGUAUUUGAGUGUGAGAGACUUGUACAGAGAGUUGGUUUAAACUUUAAAGACGUUGAGCUACUGAUAUAUGGAAUGAUGCGUCUUUCAAUUGUGCAAUCAAUUGAUGUGUACCCAAAGAUCAAUUCAAAAUUUUCCUUUUCACCUGAUAUGAGAGGGGAUCUACUCCACUCCAUGUCAGACAACAUAUCUCUACUGAUUUUCACAAGUCUUUUGUCAUCUGCACUUGGAUUCUAACUAAUUUGGACCUUUUGUGCAUAUGGGUCCCUCUCUCUAUGCAUGAGAUAUUGGGGAGAGUUUUGUCAAAAAUCAUCAUCAUCUUCUCUUUUUAUUUGACUGAAUGACUUAGUUGUCUUGCACUAAUGGGAAAACUAUCUUCCUCGAUGACCUUGCUAAUGCGGCUCUCAUCUUUCAAUCUAGUACAUUUCUGCACCCAUCAUCUUCCCUUGCACUGCUUGUGUUUUUAACCUAUGAUUUUUUUUUUUGGUUUUAAUGUCACAUAGGAAUGAUGGGAGACCUGAUUCUCUGUGUGUUUCUGUUGCACCAUAAAUAUACGGUGAACCUGUUGUGUAAAAGUUGCAAUACCAUAGAAUGACUUGUUUUUAUAGAAAGUGGUUUUUGUUAUGUUGCCUAAAAUCUUAAUGGACCCAGUGUUCAUAUUAUUGUGAUCUUAUUUGUUGGAAAAGAGACGGAGAAUCUAGUGGGGUAAAGCAUUUAGGGACAGUAUUAUGCCAUGCUUGGCUGUCUUUGAUUUUAUUUCUGUGAAAGCCUUUGGUUUGGUUCAAAGUAGCAGUGAUGUUUGUUGCUCUCUGAUUCUCACAUCAUCAUUGAAUUGUCAAUUCAAUUUUAUUUGGACGCUGUGAGGCGUGAGAUAGUAGUGAUACUUUAAUCAUAGAAUUCAACAAACUUGAGCAAGGAUACAAUGGUUGGAGAUACUGAACUUCUAAAGUGUGAAAUUACUAUGCCUAAUAAAUAGACAAUCACAUUGAGAAUCACCAUGUUCUCUUGCUAUUUUCACUGGACUUAACGAGGUUUGCUUACUAAUUUGUAUGUCUGAUGGUCAAGGUUGACAUAAAGGACUAGUGCAGAUUGUCCAAUCACAGCCAUAUGUCACUUUCAUCAGUUUAUGGUCUAGUACGGUAUUUAGAAUUUAAUUAGCUUGAUAGCUAAGUAGUGUUAUGUUAUCUGUAGUAUUAGACUGGCAUGUCCCAUUUACAGUAUCCAGAUAAUUUAAUCUUAUAAAGCUUGUCCAUUUAGUUGAACCUAACACUUAUUUCAGGCUGAGGGAAUGCCCACUCUGUUGGUUGCUAAUUGAACCAGCAAGAAUUGCUUUUGGGACAAUUGAUGUUUAAUGCACUGUAAAAUUAGGUUUUCCAAUGUCCCUGCCUUAAGUACUAUAUGAAGAAGCUAUUUAUUAUACAAGAUCACAGCGUUCAAUCAUAAGUAGAUCACAGUGUAAUUGGUUCUUUUUUCCAAAUCAGUGGCCUAAUUUUCCUUUCUCAGUUUGGUUACACAAGUCAAAUGGGAUUUAUUGUUCUUGGGACCUGUGCUGUGUUUGGUGUAUUUCUGUAUGCUUUACCAUGUCAACGUGGUUGUUUUUAGUUCAUGAAGCCGUGUUUUUUAUUUAUGUUAUCUAUCAAGGGUUUUUUUUUGUUCUUAGCCCACAUAGGUUACCUGCUGUUGGCUUAUUGUUUCCUUGGAACAGGAAAGAGAUUGAGAAUGUUGGAACAUGGAUACUUUGCAGCUAAGCUGAAAUGCUGGCAGCAAAGAUCUCAGUUGACAGAGCAGUACUCUUAGACUCAGAAAAGGAACUCAUCUCUCGUAAUGAUCAAUUGCUAGUAUGUCUCCUGAAAUUUUGCUUGAACCACACAACUCCAAUGACUAUUGCCACGAAUGCAAGCAGCCCUGCAGCACCUCCAACUAUGGUCACGAACUUUGACAUACGGUAAAGUCUUUCUGUCCCCGUUAACAAACUUGAACAUUGAACUCUGAAUAGCUAAAAACAGUCAUCCAUCUCUGCUGAAUUAUAUGGAAAGAGUUUGAAAAAGGUGUCCACUACCUGUAGAGAAGCGCAGAUCCAAGUUCCUCUUCUGAUGGGAAAUAUUCAAUUGUUUAGAGUGUCGUUUCAGCAACUGCAACUGCUUUUGGUACUACUGCUACCGACAUAUGUUUCAAGAAUGUGAUAAGGCCGAUCUUGAGCAUCCACUUGGGAAAUAGAGACUUGAAUGCUGCUAAAAUCUGAAUAAGAUAUCAGAAGACAACUCAUUUGCUUUUUAGAGUACCCUCAUCUUGUUGUCCGAUGUUCACACCCAAGUGACCCUAGAGAUGCCCCGUCACUGAAGAACAAACUGACUCUGUGAAAACAAACCUUUACUUUCAUUUGGCUUUACAGGAAAGAUGGUGAAUUUGGAGACAAACAGAAUUACUCAAGCAGAAGAUAUUACCCUGUCUUGUACUGCUGAUGAAUCCAUGUUGGCUAGAAUCCUGCAUUGAUUGUCAAGACAAGUGUGUUUGUUUCACAAUUAACUUUCUCAAACAGAAGGCCUUGGAAGACAUGAUUAUUGAAGGGGGAUCAAAAGAAAAAAAAAUGUUGUUAUCAGUCUUUCAAUUCGAAGUCUCUUCCCUGAAUCUACUCUCCCGUCCUUUUGGCCUUUUU